rnacentral:rRNA from 1 species
GUUUGAUCCUGGCUCAGGACGAACGCUGGCGGCGUGCCUAAUACAUGCAAGUCGAGCGAACCACUUCGGUGGUUAGCGGCGGACGGGUGAGUAACACGUGGGCAACCUGCCUGUAAGACUGGGAUAACUUCGGGAAACCGGAGCUAAUACCGGAUAAUCCUUUUCCUCUCAUGAGGRAAAGCUGAAAGACGGUUUCGGCUGUCACUUACAGAUGGGCCCGCGGCGCAUUAGCUAGUUGGUGAGGUAACGGCUCACCAAGGCGACGAUGCGUAGCCGACCUGAGAGGGUGAUCGGCCACACUGGGACUGAGACACGGCCCAGACUCCUACGGGAGGCAGCAGUAGGGAAUCUUCCACAAUGGACGAAAGUCUGAUGGAGCAACGCCGCGUGAGCGAUGAAGGCCUUCGGGUCGUAAAGCUCUGUUGUUAGGGAAGAACAAGUACCGGAGUAACUGCCGGUACCUGAC